GACGUCCUGCCGGUGGCGGUCCGGGCUUUCGGAUAUGUGUAGGCCAGUCCGAAGCAUGCCGGGAGUUCCGGCCGCCGAUCCAAUCCCGCCGCGGUGCUCUUGACUGAGUGUCGAGGUGGGCCGGCACGUUUACUUUGAACAAAUUAGAGUGCUUAAAGCAGGCUGAUUUCUGCCUGAAUACUGUGUGCAUGGAAUAAUGGAAUAGGACUUCGGUUCUAUUUUGUUGGUUUUAAGAACCCGAAGUAAUGAUUAAUAGGGACAGGCGGGGGCAUUCGUAUUGCGACGUUAGAGGUGAAAUUCUUGGAUCGUCGCAAGACGUACCUAAGCGAAAGCAUUUGCCAAGUAUGUCCUCGUUAAUCAAGAACGAAAGUUAGAGGUUCGAAGGCGAUCAGAUACCGCCCUAGUUCUAACCAUAAACGAUGCCAGCCAGCGAUCCGCCAAAGUUCCUCCGAUGACUUGGCGGGCAGCUUCCGGGAAACCAAAGCUUUUGGGUUCCGGGGGAAGUAUGGUUGCAAAGCUGAAACUUAAAGGAAUUGACGGAAGGGCACCACCAGGAGUGGAGCCUGCGGCUUAAUUUGACUCAACACGGGAAACCUCACCAGGCCCGGACACCGGAAGGAUUGACAGAUUGAUAGCUCUUUCUUGAUUCGGUGGGUGGUGGUGCAUGGCCGUUCUUAGUUGGUGGAGCGAUUUGUCUGGUUAAUUCCGAUAACGAACGAGACUCUAGCCUGCUAACUAGGCGUCUCCGGUAUCCACAAUAGUGCUACCGGCGAAUAAAUUUCUUCUUAGAGGGACAGGCGGCUUCUAGCCGCACGAGACUGAGCAAUAACAGGUCUGUGAUGCCCUUAGAUGUCCUGGGCCGCACGCGCGCUACACUGAAGGAAUCAGCGUGUCUUCCCUGGCCGAAAGGUCCGGGUAACCCGUUGAACCUCCUUCGUGCUAGGGAUUGGGGCUUGCAAUUGUUCCCCAUGAACGAGGAAUUCCCAGUAAGCGCGAGUCAUAAGCUCGCGUUGAUUACGUCCCUGCCCUUUGUACACACCGCCCGUCGCUACUACCGAUUGAAUGAUUUAGUGAGGUCUUCGGACUGGUGCGCGGCGAUCGCCUCGUGUGGUCA
rnacentral:rRNA from 1 species